rnacentral:rRNA from 1 species
AGGACGAACGCUGGCGGCGUGCUUAACACAUGCAAGUCGAGCGGUAAGGCUCCUUCGGGAGUACACGAGCGGCGAACGGGUGAGUAACACGUGAGCAACCUGCCCUUCUCUUCGGAAUAACCAUUGGAAACGAUGGCUAAUGCCGAAUACGACCUCCUUUCGCAUGAUCGGAGGUGGAAAGCUCCGGCGGAGAAGGAUGAGCUCGCGGCCUAUCAGCUAGUUGGCGGGGUAACGGCCCACCAAGGCGACGACGGGUA